UGGGGAAUAUUGCGCAAUGGGCGAAAGCCUGACGCAGCGACGCCGCGUGAGGGAUGAAGGUUUUCGGAUCGUAAACCUCUGUCAGAAGGGAAGAAACCGCACUGUGCUAAUCAGCAGUGCCUUGACGGUACCUUCAAAGGAAGCACCGGCUAACUCCGUGCCAGCAGCCGCGGUAAUACGGAGGGUGCAAGCGUUAAUCGGAAUUACUGGGCGUAAAGCGCACGUAGGCUGCUUUGUAAGUCAGGGGUGAAAUCCCACGGCUCAACCGUGGAACUGCCUUUGAUACUGCUUAGCUUGAAUCCGGGAGAGGAUGGCGGAAUUCCAGGUGUAGGAGUGAAAUCCGUAGAUAUCUGGAGGAACAUCAGUGGCGAAGGCGGCCACCUGGACCGGUAUUGACGCUGAGGUGCGAAAGCGUGGGGAGCAAACAGG
rnacentral:rRNA from 1 species